rnacentral:lncRNA from 1 species
AUUUUAGAAUAAAGGUCAUGCAGCUGUAUUUUAAGAUAGAUAUUAGAUAUAAGGAAAGUUAACUGAGAAAACUACAUUUGUACUACAUUUUCUGUUUACUUAUAGUUUUAACCUGCUUUAAUUUCUUCAUUUGAGUUCAAGACAUUGCCUCUUCUCCCCUCAUUGCCUGAUCUCCUUCCAUUUGAUCACAAAGGACUCUGUGCUUCGUGUAGAAUUGAUCUGCUCAAGACCUUUACAACCUAUUCUCGUUCAUUUGCAGAAUGAACUACCAUAUCCAGUUUCAUGUGGUCCUGAGGGUCGACACAAGUUCUCAUGUGUGCCAUUCAGCAACUUGAACAACUGAGCUACACCACAGCCCCUGGAUAUUUUUAUACAGAAGAUAUUUUCACUUUCUAGUGUUUGAUUGCUUUGUGUUACUUCAUAUACACAAGGUGGGGCAGACUCUUGACUCUUUUGCUUUGGUAGUUUUCAAGGUUAUGACUAAUUUUCUUAGCAUACAUCAAGGUUAUGACUAAUUUUCUUAGCAUACAUCAAGAAAGAGCAAUCUACAUGAUUGCUUAAGAGUUUGUGACUAUUGUUAUCGGAUUAUAUCAUUUCUAGCACCCCUGAGAAGCUAGGAAUAUAAACCUAGAAUUAAAAUCCUUAGCUUCC